rnacentral:rRNA from 1 species
UCAUCUCCGGGGGUAGAGCACUGUUUCGGCUAGGGGGCCAUCCCGGCUUACCAACCCGAUGCAAACUGCGAAUACCGGAGAAUGUUAUCACGGGAGACACACGGCGGGUGCUAACGUCCGUCGUGAAGAGGGAAACAACCCAGACCGCCAGCUAAGGUCCCAAAGUCAUGGUUAAGUGGGAAACGAUGUGGGAAGGCACAGACAGCCAGGAUGUUGGCUUAGAAGCAGCCAUCAUUUAAAGAAAGCGUAAUAGCUCACUGGUCGAGUCGGCCUGCGCGGAAGAUGUAACGGGGCUAAACCAUGCACCGAAGCUGCGGCAGCGACACUAUGUGUUGUUGGGUAGGGGAGCGUUCUGUAAGCCGUCGAAGGUGUGCUGUGAGGCAUGCUGGAGGUAUCAGAAGUGCGAAUGCUGACAUAAGUAACGAUAAACAAGGUGAAAAACCUUGUCGCCGGAAGACCAAGGGUUCCUGUUCAACGUUAAUCGGAGCAGGGUGAGUCGACCCCUAAGGCGAGGCCGAAAGGCGUAGUCGAUGGGAAACAGGUUAAUAUUCCUGUACUUGGUGUUACUGCGAAGGGGGGACGGAGAAGGCUAUAUCAGCCGGGCGACGGUUGUCCCGGUUUAAGCGUGUAGGUGUGUGUUCCAGGCAAAUCCGGUUCACUUUACACUGAGGCGUGACGACGAGGCACUACGGUGCUGAAGUGAUAAAUGCCCUGCUUCCAGGAAAAGCCUCUAAGCAUCAGGUAACACAAAAUCGUACCCCAAACCGACACAGGUGGUCAGGUAGAGAAUACCAAGGCGCUUGAGAGAACUCGGGUGAAGGAACUAGGCAAAAUGGUGCCGUAACUUCGGGAGAAGGCACGCUGCCACCAGGUGAAGUCACUUGCUGACGGAGCUGAAGGCAGUCGAAGAUACCAGCUGGCUGCAACUGUUUAUUAAAAACACAGCACUGUGCAAACACGAAAGUGGACGUAUACGGUGUGACGCCUGCCCGGUGCCGGAAGGUUAAUUGAUGGGGUUAAGCGCAAGCUGAAGCUCUUGAUCGAAGCCCCGGUAAACGGCGGCCGUAACUAUAACGGUCCUAAGGUAGCGAAAUUCCUUGUCGGGUAAGUUCCGACCUGCACGAAUGGCGUAAUGAUGGCCAGGCUGUCUCCACCCGAGACUCAGUGAAAUUGAAAUCGCUGUGAAGAUGCAGUGUACCCGCGGCAAGACGGAAAGACCCCGUGAACCUUUACUACAGCUUGACACUGAACACUGAGCCUUGAUGUGUAGGAUAGGUGGGAGGCUUUGAAGCGUGGACGCCAGUCUGCGUGGAGCCGACCUUGAAAUACCACCCUUUAAUGUUUGGUGUUCUAACGUAGGCCCGUGAUCCGGGCUGCGGACAGUGUCUGGUGGGUAGUUUGACUGGGGCGGUCUCCUCCUAAAGAGUAACGGAGGAGCACGAAGGUUGGCUAAUCCUGGUCGGACAUCAGGAGGUUAGUGCAAUGGCAUAAGCCAGCUUGACUGCGAGAGUGACGGCUCGAGCAGGUGCGAAAGCAGGUCAUAGUGAUCCGGUGGUUCUGAAUGGAAGGGCCAUCGCUCAACGGAUAAAAGGUACUCCGGGGAUAACAGGCUGAUACCGCCCAAGAGUUCAUAUCGACGGCGGUGUUUGGCACCUCGAUGUCGGCUCAUCACAUCCUGGGGCUGAAGUAGGUCCCAAGGGUACGGCUGUUCGCCGUUUAAAGUGGUACGCGAGCUGGGUUUAGAACGUCGUGAGACAGUUCGGUCCCUAUCUGCCGUGGGCGCUGGAGAAUUGAGGGGGGUUGCUCCUAGUACGAGAGGACCGGAGUGAACGCACCGCUGGUGUCCGGGUUGUCACGCCAGUGGCACUGCCCGGUAGCUAAGUGCGGAAAAGAUAAGUGCUGAAAGCAUCUAAGCACGAAACUUGCCCCGAGAUGAGUUCUCCCUGACCCUUUAAGGGUCCUGAAGGGACGUUGAAGACGACGACGUUGAUAGGCCGGGUGUGUAAGCGCAGCGAUGCGUUGAGCUUACCGGUACUAAUGACCCGUGAGGCUUAACCUU